rnacentral:rRNA from 1 species
AGGUAAGCUACUAAGAGCGAAUGGUGGAUGCCUUGACUGGUAAAGGCGAUGAAGGACGUACUAGACUGCGAUAAGCUACGGGGAGCUGUCAAGAAGCUUUGAUCCGUAGAUUUCCGAAUGGGGCAACCCAGUAUAUAGAGAUAUAUACUACCAUAAUGGAGCGAACGAGGGGAAUUGAAACAUCUUAGUACCCUCAGGAAAAGAAAUCAAUAGAGAUUACGUCAGUAGCGGCGAGCGAAAGCGUAAGAGGGCAAACCCAGUGCUUGCACUGGGGGUUGUAGGACUGCAAUGUGCAAUAAGUAAGGUUAGUAGAACACUCUGGAAAGUGUAGCCAUAGAGGGUGAUAGUCCCGUAUACGAAAACCAAACUUUAGCUAGCAGUAUCCUGAGUAGGGCGAAACACGUGGAAUUUUGUCUGAAGCUGGGUCGACCACGAUCCAACCCUAAAUACUAAUACCAGAUCGAUAGUGCACAAGUACCGUGAGGGAAAGGUGAAAAGAACUGAGGUGAUCAGAGUGAAAUAGAACCUGAAACCAUUUGCUUACAAUCAUUCAGAGCACUAUGUAGCAAUACAGUGUGAUGGACUGCCUUUUGCAUAAUGAGCCUGCGAGUUGUGGUGUCUGGCAAGGUUAAGCACACGCGAAGCCGUAGCGAAAGCGAGUCUGAAUAGGGCGCUUAAGUCAGAUGCUGCAGACCCGAAACGAAGUGAUCUAUCCAUGAGCAAGUUGAAGCUAGUGUAAGAACUAGUGGAGGACUGAACCCAUAGGCGUUGAAAAGCCCCGGGAUGACUUGUGGAUAGGGGUGAAAGGCCAAUCAAACUUCGUGAUAGCUGGUUCUCUCCGAAAUAUAUUUAGGUAUAGCGUUGUGUCGUAGUAUAAGGGGGUAGAGCACUGAAUGGGCUAGGGCAUACACCAAUGUACCAAACCCUAUCAAACUCCGAAUACCUUAUAUGUAAUCACAGCAGUCAGGCGGCGAGUGAUAAAAUCCGUCGUCAAGAGGGAAACAACCCAGACUAUCAGCUAAGGUCCCCAAGUCUUACUUAAGUGGAAAACGAUGUGAAGUUACUUAAACAACCAGGAGGUUGGCUUAGAAGCAGCCAUCCUUUAAAGAAAGCGUAAUAGCUCACUGGUCUAGUGAUUUUGCGCGGAAA